CAUUCGUUGGUGUAAAUUCUUCUUUAUGUUGGUGUUCUUUACUUUUUGGUGUAUUUUUAGAAAGGCUAAUACUGGUUGUUUCUUUCUGUGUGUAAUGCUUCUUUCAGAAGCUCUUGUAAAGCAGGCCUGGUGGUAAUAAAAUCUCUGAGUUCUUGCUUGUUCAUAAAAGAUUUUAUUUUUCCUUCAGUUGUGAAGCUUAGUUUGGCUGGAUAUGAAAUUCUGGGCUGAAGGUUCUGUUCUUUGAGGAUGUUGAAUAUUGGCCCCCACUCUCUUCUGGCCUGUAGAGUUUCUGCCGAGAGAUCUGCUGUAAGUCUGAUAGGCUUGCCUUUGUGGGUAUUCUGACCUUUCUCUCUGGCUGCCCUUAGUAUCCUCUCCUUCGUUUCAACCCUGGUGAAUCUAACGAUUAUGUGCCUUGGGGUUGCUCUUCUUGAGGAAUAUCUUUGUGGUGUUCUCUGUAUUACCUGGGGUUGAAUGUUGACCUGCUUUGCUAGUUUAGGAAAAUUUUCCUGAAUAAUAUCCUGAAGGGUAUUUUCCAGCUUGGAUUCAUUCUCUCCGUCGCAUUCAGGUACACCUAUCAAACGUAAAUUUGGUCUUUUCACAUAGUCCCACAUUUCUUGGAGACUUUGCUCAUUCCUUUUUAUCCUUUUUUCUCUAAUCUUUUCUUCACGUUUUAUUUCAUUAAGUUGGACUUUGACCUCUGAUAUCCCUUCUUCUGCUUGAACAAUUCGAGUGUUUAAACCUGUGCAUACUUCUCGGAGUUCCUGUAUUGUAUUCUUCAGUUCCAUUAAUUCACUCAUACUCCUCUCUAAGUUGUCUAUUCUCAAUAGGAUUUCAUCAAACCUUUUUUCAAAUUCCUGUAUUGUAUUCUUCAGUUCCAUUAAUUCACUCAUACUCCUCUCUAAGUUGUCUAUUCUCAAUAGGAUUUCAUCAAACCUUUUUUCAAAGUUCCUAGUUUCUUUACAUUGGGCUACAACAUGUUCUUUUAACUCACCGAAGUUUGUUAUUAUCCAUUCCUUGAAGAAUGAUUCUGUCAUCAGGAGGCGCUCGUUCUCCAUCAAGCCUUGUUCCAUUGUUGAUGUGGAACUGUGAUCAUCUUUAGAGGGAGAGGCGUUCUGACUUUGAGUAUUCUCAGCUUUUUUACGCUGGUUUCUUCCUGUCAUUGUAAAUUUAUCCUCCUCUCGUCUUUGAAAUUACCAACUUUCAGAUUAGGUCUCUUGAGUGGACGUCCAGGUUGUUAGUUCCCAGGGCCAGAGCAGUGGCGUUAAAACUGAUGGUGCUUUUCUGCCCAGGAUUCUCCUGUCGGGCUUCCUUCUUGUUUCCGUAGUAGGCGACUGCCUUCCCGGGGCUCCAAACCUCGGUCAGAAGGGGAAGCGGUCCCGUUUACUCUGCUCCGAGAGCUGCCGCGCCAAGGUGCCGGCGGAACCGCUGCGCUGACCACGAGAGUCGCGCUGGCGACCCGUGUGUUUCCACCACUGGGGGAUCUUCUGCUCUGUGAGCGACCAGACUUUGUCUGAAAGUGUGGCGUCCUCUAGUUCUCCGCGCCUUCCCUGAGAGCUGCAAUCCCGGGAUGUUAGCGAUCGGCCAUCUUGGAUCGUUCUCAGUU
ensembl:lncRNA